UACGAAGGGGGCUAGCGUUGCUCGGAAUCACUGGGCGUAAAGCGCUCGUAGGCGGGUCGUUAAGUCUGGGGUGAAAUCCCGGAGCUCAACUCCGGAACUGCCUUUGAUACUGGCGAUCUUGAGUUCGAGAGAGGUGAGUGGAACUGCGAGUGUAGAGGUGAAAUUCGUAGAUAUUCGCAAGAACACCAGUGGCGAAGGCGGCUCACUGGCCCGGUACUGACGCUGAGGUGCGAAAGCGUGGGGAGCAAACAGG
rnacentral:rRNA from 1 species